GCCUCGGUGGUGCAAAUGGUUACCACACUUGGCUGCUAACCGAAAGGUUGGAGGUUCAAGUCUACCCAGAGGUG
rfam:Loxodonta africana unplaced genomic scaffold scaffold_5, whole genome shotgun sequence.